rnacentral:rRNA from 1 species
CCUACGGGUGGCAGCAGUGGGGAAUAUUGGACAAUGGGGGCAACCCUGAUCCAGCCAUGCCGCGUGUGUGAAGAAGGCCCUCGGGUUGUAAAGCACUUUCAGUGAGGAAGAACGCCUGGUGGUUAAUACCCAUCAGGAAAGACAUCACUCACAGAAGAAGCACCGGCUAACUCCGUGCCAGCAGCCGCGGUAAUACGGAGGGUGCGAGCGUUAAUCGGAAUUACUGGGCGUAAAGCGCGCGUAAGUGGCUUGAUAAGCCGGUUGUGAAAGCCCCGGGCUCAACCUGGGAACGGCAUCCGGAACUGUCAAGCUAGAGUGCAGGAGAGGAAGGUAGAAUUCCCGGUGUAGCGGUGAAAUGCGUAGAGAUCGGGAGGAAUACCAGUGGCGAAGGCGGCCUUCUGGACUGACACUGACACUGAGGUGCGAAAGCGUGGGUAGCAAACAGGAUUAGAUACCCCAGUAGUC